UCAAAAACAUGGCUUAUUGAUUUUAAUUUUAAGUCUAGCCUGCCCCCUGAGGUUUUAAAUGGCCGCGGUAUUUUGACCGUGCUAAGGUAGCAUAAUCAUUAGUUUCUUAAUUAGAAGCUGGAAUGAAGGGUUGGAUGAAAAAAUUUCUGUCUCUAUUUAAAUUUAUUAUAAUUUUAUUUUUUAGUAAAAAAGCUAAAAUAAUUUUAAAAGACGAGAAGACCCUAUAGAGUUUAAUAUAUAAUUAUAUUAAUAUUUAUUGGAAUAUAAAUUUUUAAUUUAAUAAUAUAUUUAAUUGGGGUGAUUGAAAAAUUAAUGAAACUUUUUUUAUUUUUUACAUUGAUUUAUGAAUUGUUGAUCCAUAUUUUAUGAUUAUAAGAUUUAAUUACCUUAGGGAUAACAGCGUAAUGUUUUCAGAGAGUUCUUAUCGAAGAAAAAGAUUGCGACCUCGAUGUUGGAUUAAAAUGAAUUAUUGGUGUAGAAGCUAAUAUUAUUAGGUCUGUUCGACCUUUAAAAUUUUACAUGAUCUGA
rnacentral:rRNA from 1 species